UACGAAGGGGGCUAGCGUUGCUCGGAAUCACUGGGCGUAAAGGGCGCGUAGGCGGGUUUGUAAGUCAGGGGUGAAAUCCCGGGGCUCAACCUCGGAACUGCCUUUGAUACAGCAAGUCUUGAGUUCGAGAGAGGUGGGUGGAAUUCCUAGUGUAGAGGUGAAAUUCGUAGAUAUUAGGAAGAACACCGGUGGCGAAGGCGGCCCACUGGCUCGAUACUGACGCUGAGGUGCGAAAGCGUGGGGAGCAAACAGG
rnacentral:rRNA from 1 species